UUCAGAAGUCAUUAUGUCAACAUCAUAAAAAAAUGGACCCAGUUUUAAAUGGGGAACAUGAGGGUAGUCAGUCAGGAAAACUAAAAAAAAAAAAAAAUUGUACUUUGCUCUUUCAAGGUUUGCAAUACAGUUCAUCAUAGCUGAUAUGUUCCAGACCCACUCUGAAGGUGAAAAUAGGUAAUAUGGAGAGGAGGCAUGAAAUCCUU